rnacentral:tRNA from 1 species
GCUCAGUCAGUUAAGUAUAAGACUCUUGAUUUUGAAUCAAGUCAUGGUCUCAUGGUUCAUGGGAUCGAACCCCAUGUAGAGCU